UAGGGAAUCUUCCGCAAUGGGCGAAAGCCUGACGGAGCAACGCCGCGUGAGUGAUGAAGGUCUUCGGAUCGUAAAACUCUGUUAUUAGGGAAGAACAUAUGUGUAAGUAACUGUGCACAUCUUGACGGUACCUAAUCAGAAAGCCACGGCUAACUACGUGCCAGCAGCCGCGGUAAUACGUAGGUGGCAAGCGUUAUCCGGAAUUAUUGGGCGUAAAGCGCGCGUAGGCGGUUUUUUAAGUCUGAUGUGAAAGCCCACGGCUCAACCGUGGAGGGUCAUUGGAAACUGGAAAACUUGAGUGCAGAAGAGGAAAGUGGAAUUCCAUGUGUAGCGGUGAAAUGCGCAGAGAUAUGGAGGAACACCAGUGGCGAAGGCGACUUUCUGGUCUGUAACUGACGCUGAUGUGCGAAAGCGUGGGGAUCAAACAGGAUUAGAUACCCUGGUAGUCCACGCCGUAAACGAUGAGUGCUAAGUGUUAGGGGGUUUCCGCCCCUUAGUGCUGCAGCUAACGCAUUAAGCACUCCGCCUGGGGAGUACGACCGCAAGGUUUG
rnacentral:rRNA from 1 species